GCCAACAGGAGCUGGUAAUCAGGAUGGCAGUGAGGCAGGCACUUGCUUGCAGAAGAACAGGCCUAGUUUUUUAAGAAGCCACAAAAGUGUCUUUGGAUGAUUAGGAUCUAAGGGGCCAACAGCUUUGCAAUAACAGCAUAAAUAUUGUGGGCUGGAUGGACAGGCACCAAAUGGGGACAUUCCAUCCUGCUGUGUGAUGAGAAAGCUGCCACUUUUGAGGCCUUCCAAAACAAAUCAACACUCCAUAUGCCAGAAGGAAAAGCCCAGGAAAGACCUAUUCCAACUGGAGAUGGAAUACGAAGGGAGAAUGAAACAAAACUGCUCCGCUUAGGGAACUUGGAAAGGAAAUUGAAAAGGCAAGGCACAGGCUGGAAGAAAAUAUUUGAAAAAGAUUUAUGUGAACUUCUUUCUGGAUUAUACAAAAUAUUUUUAGAUAUUCUUACAACUCUAAAAUAAGAUAACUCCUUAAAAAUCUAAAUUCUACCAAAGGAGAGAUAAAGAUGACGAAUACAUUCAAAGAUGCUGAAAAUCACUUAUUUAUUAUUAGGAAGUUACAAGCUAAAGCAUAAUGAGAUACCACUACAACCUACUAAACUGACUAAAAUUAAUCAGACUAACCAGGUGUUGGCAAGAAACAGGGACACUGAGACUCUCACACUGCUGGAAGGAAUGUAAAAUGCUAAAACUUCUUUGGAAAUGAGUUCAGUAACUUUUUAAACAGUUGAAAAUAGACCUAUCAUGCAAACCAGCAAUCCCACUUCCAGGUAUUUAUACAAGGAAAAUGACAACAUAUGCCCACAUAAAGACUUGUGCACAAAUGACCGUAGCAGCUUUGUGAUAAUUGCUAAAAACUAGAAACUUGUCAAGUGUCCAACAGGUGAGUGGACAAACUCACUAUAGUAUAUCCAUACAAUUAAGUACUAAAUAGCAAUAAAAAGGAACUAUUAAUACAUUUGACAAUAUGGAUGUAAAUUAUAAUGCUAUGCUGAGAUAAAGAACCCAAAGAUUUUAUACAUAUGAUUCAAUUUCUAUAAACCGUUAGAAAAUGAAAAC
rnacentral:lncRNA from 1 species